GAACCUUACCAGCCCUUGACAUCCCGGUCGCGGGAACCAGAGAUGGAUCCCUUCAGUUCGGCUGGACCGGAGACAGGUGCUGCAUGGCUGACGUCAGCUCGUGUCGUGAGAUGUUGGGUUAAGUCCCGCAACGAGCGCAACCCUCGCCCUUAGUUGCCAUCAUUUAGUUGGGCACUCUAAGGGGACUGCCGGUGAUAAGCCGCGAGGAAGGUGGGGAUGACGUCAAGUCCUCAUGGCCCUUACGGGCUGGGCUACACACGUGCUACAAUGGCGGUGACAGUGGGACGCAAUGGAGCAAUCCUGCGCAAAUCUCAAAAAGCCGUCUCAGUUCGGAUUGUGCUCUGCAACUCGAGCACAUGAAGUUGGAAUCGCUAGUAAUCGCAGAUCAGCACGCUGCGGUGAAUACGUUCCCGGGCCUUGUCACACCGA
rnacentral:rRNA from 1 species